rnacentral:rRNA from 1 species
UACGUAGGUGGCAAGCGUUGUCCGGAUUUAUUGGGUUUAAAGGGUGCGUAGGCGGUCCUAUAAGUCAGUGCUGAAAUAUCCCGGCUAAACCGGGAGGGUGGCAUUGAUACUGCAGGACUUGAGUAAAGUUGAGGUAGGCGGAAUUGACGGUGUAGCGGUGAAAUGCUUAGAUAUCGUCAAGAACACCGAUAGUGUAGACAGCUUACUAAGCUUAACUGACGCUGAGGCACGAAAGUGUGGGAUCAAACAGG